UGCAUCGGCCGGGAAUCGAACGCCCGCGUGGCAGGCGAGCAUUCUACCACUGAACCACCGAUGG